rnacentral:rRNA from 1 species
UACGGAGGAUCCAAGCGUUAUCCGGAAUCAUUGGGUUUAAAGGGUCCGUAGGCGGCCCUGUAAGUCAGUGGUGAAAUCUCCCCGCUCAACGGGGAAACUGCCAUUGAUACUGCAGGGCUUGAAUUAUUGGGAAGUAACUAGAAUAUGUAGUGUAGCGGUGAAAUGCUUAGAGAUUACAUGGAAUACCGAUUGCGAAGGCAGGUUACUACCAAUGGAUUGACGCUGAUGGACGAAAGCGUGGGGAGCGAACAGGA